GGCUGGUUGGCUCACUUGGUUAGAGCAUGGUGCUGAUAACACCCAGGUCAGGGGUUCGAUCCCCGUAUAGGCCA